rnacentral:rRNA from 1 species
UACGAAGGGGCUAGCGUUGUUCGGAUUUACUGGGCGUAAAGCGCACGUAGGCGGAUCGUUAAGUCGGGGGUGAAAUCCUGGAGCUCAACUCCAGAACUGCCUUCGAUACUGGCGAUCUUGAGUCCGGAAGAGGUGAGUGGAACUCCUAGUGUAGAGGUGGAAUCGUAGAUAUUAGGAAGAACACCAGUGGCGAAGGCGGCUCACUGGUCCGGUACUGACGCUGAGGUGCGAAAGCGUGGGGAGCAAACAGGAUUAGAACUAC